rnacentral:rRNA from 1 species
GAUGAACGCUGGCGGCGUGCCUAAUACAUGCAAGUCGAGCGAACAGAUGAGGAGCUUGCUCCUCUGACGUUAGCGGCGGACGGGUGAGUAACACGUGGAUAACCUACCUAUAAGACUGGGAUAACUUCGGGAAACCGGAGCUAAUACCGGAUAAUAUAUUGAACCGCAUGGUUCAAUAGUGAAAGACGGUUUUGCUGUCACUUAUAGAUGGAUCCGCGCCGCAUUAGCUAGUUGGUAAGGUAACGGCUUACCAAGGCAACGAUGCGUAGCCGACCUGAGAGGGUGAUCGACCACACGGUAACUGAGACACGGUCCAGACUCCUACGGGAGGCAGCAGUAGGGAAUCUUCCGCAAUGGGCGAAAGCCUGACGGAGCAACGCCGCGUGAGUGAUGAAGGUCUUCGGAUCGUAAAACUCUGUUAUUAGGGAGGAACAAAUGUGUUAGUAACUAUGCACGUCUUGACGGUACCUAAUCAGAAAGCCACGGCUAACUACGUG